rnacentral:lncRNA from 1 species
UAUAAAAUCAGUUCCAUAAAUAAUAUAACGAAUUUUCUAUGGUGUGCCCACGGGCACACAAUAGUCACUAACUUUCAUGAAAAUACUAGCUCCUGAUUGGUGGAUAGGUAAUAAAUGUUUGUGACCUCCCUGCAUUCACACUAAUUCCACCAAUCAAAAUAGCCCAUUUUCAUAAAAGUUUGUGAUUAUUGUGUGCCCUUGGGCACACAUUAGAAAGACCGAUAAUAUAAUUGCAUUACAUCAGCUGGCAGACUAGCAUUAUUUAUUAUUAUAUCUGCAGCUGAUAAUACUUAAGAUAAAAAUACUAGGNCGGGGCAGAACAUAACAUCACUCAGCAGACUAUCUGUUAUCUUUAAAUUGAGUAGUGAAAUUCAAGUACUUUUUCUUGGAUGUUCCAAAACUU